rnacentral:rRNA from 1 species
GAUGAACGCUGGCGGCGUGCCUAAUACAUGCCAGUCGAGCGAACGGACGAGAAGCUUGCUUUUCUGAUGUUAGCGGCGGACGGGUGAGUAACACGUGGAUAACCUACCUAUAAGACUGGGAUAACUUCGGGAAACCGGAGCUAAUACCGGAUAAUAUUUUGAACCGCAUGGUUCAAAAGUGAAAGACGGUCUUGCUGUCACUUAUAGAUGGAUCCGCGCUGCAUUAGCUAGUUGGUAAGGUAACGGCUUACCAAGGCAACGAUGCAUAGCCGACCUGAGAGGGUGAUCGGCCACACUGGAACUGAGAAACGGUCCAGACUCCUACGGGAGGCAGCAGUAGGGAAUCUUCCGCAAUGGGCGAAAGCCUGACGGAGCAACGCCGCGUGAGUGAUGAAGGUCUUCGGAUCGUAAAACUCUGUUAUUAGGGAAGAACAUAUGUGUAAGUAACUGUGCACAUCUUGACGGUACCUAAUCAGAAAGCCACGGCUAACUACGUG